rnacentral:tRNA from 1 species
GGGUUGGUAACUCAACGGUAGAGUAUCCGGCUUUUAAUCGAAUAGUUCUGGGUUCGAAUCCCAGCCAGCCCA